GAUGAACGCUGGCGGCGUGCCUAAUACAUGCAAGUCGAGCGAACAGAUGAGGAGCUUGCUCCUCUGACGUUAGCGGCGGACGGGUGAGUAACACGUGGAUAACCUACCUAUAAGACUGGGAUAACUUCGGGAAACCGGAGCUAAUACCGGAUAAUAUAUUGAACCGCAUGGUUCAAUAGUUAAAGACGGUUUUGCUGUCACUUAUAGAUGGAUCCGCGCCGCAUUAGCUAGUUGGUAAGGUAACGGCUUACCAAGGCAACGAUGCGUAGCCGACCUGAGAGGGUGAUCGGCCACACUGGAACUGAGACACGGUCCAGACUCCUACGGGAGGAAGCAGUAGGGAAUCUUACGCAAUGGGCGAAAGCCUGACGGAGCAACGCCGCGUGAGUGAUGAAGGUCUUCGGAUCGUAAAACUCUGUUAUUAGGGAAGAACAAAUGUGUAAGUAACUAUGCACGUCUUGACGGUACCUAAUCAGAAAGCCACGGCUAACUACGUG
rnacentral:rRNA from 1 species